CUACAGGUCUGGCAAUUGGAAUGAGAACAAUUUAAAUCCCUUAUCGAGUAUCAAUUGGAGGGCAAGUCUGGUGCCAGCAGCCGCGGUAAUUCCAGCUCCAAUAGCGUAUAUUAAAGUUGUUGCAGUUAAAAAGCUCGUAGUUGGAUUUGUGGUGUGUCCAGUCGGCCUUUGCUCUUUGAGUGACUGAGCUGUUACUGGUCUGCCAUGUUUGGGUGGAAUCUGUGUGGCAUUAAGUUGUCGUGCAGGGGAUACCCAUCGUUUACUGUGAAAAAAUUAGAGUGUUCAAAGCAGGCUUAUGCCUCUGAAUAUAUUAGCAUGGAAUAAUGAUAUAGGACCUUGGUACUAUUUUGUUGGUUUGCGCACUGAGGUAAUGAUUAAGAGGGACAGUUGGGGGUAUUUGCAUUCCAUUGUCAGAGGUGAAAUUCUUGGAUUUUUGGAAGACAAACUACUGCGAAAGCAUUUACCAAGGAUGUUUUCAUUAAUCAAGAACGAAAGUUAGGGGAUCGAAGAUGAUUAGAUACCAUCGUAGUCUUAACCAUAAACUAUGCCG
rnacentral:rRNA from 1 species